GACAGAGGCCUCGAGCGUUAGGCGGAAUCACUGGGCUUAAAGCGUGUGUAGGCGGAUCGUUAAGUACCUUGUGAAAUCCCACGGCUCAACCGUGGAACGGCUGGGUAUACUGGCGGUCUUGGGCCAUUCAGGGGCGACUGGAACAAGCGGUGGAGCGGUGAAAUGCGUAGAUAUCUGGAGGAACACCGUGGCGAAGGCGGCAUCCUGGACCGGUAUUGACGCUGAGGCGCGAAAGCCAGGGGAGCAA
rnacentral:rRNA from 1 species